UACUUUUUUUUUUUUAAAUAAAUGGAGAUGUGGGAAGUUAUAGGUAUUGAAGAGCAAAAGUAAGAAUAAGAAAAUAUUGAAGUUAGAAACAAAAAUUAGUUAAGAAUGAUAAUAAGAAAAUAUUGGUUAUUCAAGGGUACUUCACGUUCAGAAUGAACUAUGAUUAGUUCCAUCAGGUGGUUGACUGACGGCCUCGCGGAUCGCCAACUUGUCUUGGACUAUAUCUGCAACGAUCGAAGGAAGGCCACACGCUCUGUAUGAGCAUAAGCAUAGCACACCAUUGGUGCUCUCUUUGAAAGGAAGAAAAGGCACUCAGUAUUCUAUUCUUAGAGCCUGAAGCUUAUGUCAUAUGUAGUAUAUAUACAUAUACCCUCAUUCACCGCCUCCCGCUUCUCUCUCAUAUGCCAAAGAGUUUGAAAAAGUGUAUGACUUUGAGUCGUUGGAGCUGUGGAGAGGCUUCAUUCCUUUUCGGUGGGGGAAGCACGACAAGCCACCUUUGAAAAGGUUGUGAGCGAAUAAAAUAAAAAGUUCAUGACUGAACCAUGAUAAAAAAAAGAAUGAUGAAAACUUUUAUUGUAAUUAUUUGUGUUUUACAAUGAGGCUCAAAGUCUAUUUAUGUAAAAAUAAAAUGUUACAAAAAAAUAAAUACAAUAAAUAUAAAUAAUGACUCUAUCAAUUCCUAUAAUCAGCUAAAUCAAUAUCUAAUAUUCUCUAAAUCAAUAUAAAAUUAAUUUAAAAUAUUACUAGAAUAUUACAAAAAUAAUAUUAUUAAAAUCAUUAUAGAAUAUUACUAAAAUAUUACUAGAAUAAUAUCGUUGAAAUCAAUCUAAAAUAUUGUCAAAAUAUUACUAGAAUAUCACUGACACAUACUUGUUGGUUCUCAUCAAUAUUUAUUUUUUCUCUU
rnacentral:lncRNA from 1 species